AUUGAACGCUGGCGGCAGGCUUAACACAUGCAAGUCGAACGAGUGGCGUACGGGAGAGUAAUGCUUGGGAAUCGAGCUUAUGGAUGGGGAUCACUACGGGGAACUGUAGCCAAUACCGUGUACCAUAGGAUGAGCCCAAGUGGGAUUAGGUAGUUGGUGAGGUAAAGGCACACCAAGCCGACGAUCUCUAGCUGGUCUGAGAGGAUGACCAGCCACACUGGGACUGAGACACGGCCCAGACUCCUACGGGAGGCAGCAGUGGGGAAUAUUGCGCAAUGGGGGAAACCCUGACGCAGCCAUGCCGCGUGUAUGAAGAAGGCCUUCGGGUUGUAAAGUACUUUAAGUCGGGAGGCGUUACCCGCAGAAGAAGCACCGGCUAACUCCGUGCCAGCAGCCGCGGUAAUUC
rnacentral:rRNA from 1 species